UCGCGGCUUAUUACCGGCAGUCCCCUUAGAGUGCCCAACUGAAUGAUGGCAACUAAGGGCGAGGGUUGCGCUCGUUGCGGGACUUAACCCAACAUCUCACGACACGAGCUGACGUCAGCCAUGCAGCACCUGUGUUGCGGUUCCCUUUCGGGCACCGAGGUAUCUCUACCCCCUUCCGCACAUGUCAAGGGUAGGUAAGGUUUUUCGCGUUGCAUCGAAUUAAUCCACAUGCUCCGCCGCUUGUGCGGGCCCCCGUCAAUUUCUUUGAGUUUUAGCCUUGCGGCCGUACUCCCCAGGCGGGGUACUUAAUGCGUUAGCUACGGCACGGAUCCCAAGGAAGGAAACCCACACCUAGUACCCACCGUUUACGGCGUGGACUAC
rnacentral:misc_RNA from 1 species